AUGCAGUCGAACGAUGAAGCCCAGCUUGCUGGGUGGAUUAGUGGCGAACGGGUGAGUAACACGUGAGUAACCUGCCCUUAACUCUGGGAUAAGCCUGGGAAACUGGGUCUAAUACCGGAUAGGAGCGCCUACCGCAUGGUGGGUGUUGGAAAGAUUUAUCGGUUUUGGAUGGACUCGCGGCCUAUCAGCUUGUUGGUGAGGUAAUGGCUCACCAAGGCGACGACGGGUAGCCGGCCUGAGAGGGUGACCGGCCACACUGGGACUGAGACACGGCCCAGACUCCUACGGGAGGCAGCAGUGGGGAAUAUUGCACAAUGGGCGCAAGCCUGAUGCAGCGACGCCGCGUGAGGGAUGACGGCCUUCGGGUUGUAAACCUCUUUCAGUAGGGAAGAAGCGAAAGUGGCGGUACCUGCAGAAGAAGCACCGGCUAACUACGUGCCAGCAGCCGCGGUAAUACGUAGGGUGCGAGCGUUAUCCGGAAUUAUUGGGCGUAAAGAGCUCGUAGGCGGUUUGUCGCGUCUGUCGUGAAAGUCCGGGGCUUAACCCCGGAUCUGCGGUGGGUACGGGCAGACUAGAGUGCAGUAGGGGAGACUGGAAUUCCUGGUGUAGCGGUGGAAUGCGCAGAUAUCAGGAGGAACACCGAUGGCGAAGGCAGGUCUCUGGGCUGUAACUGACGCUGAGGAGCGAAAGCAUGGGGAGCGAACAGGAUUAGAUACCCUGGUAGUCCAUGCCGUAAACGUUGGGCACUAGGUGUGGGGACCAUUCCACGGUUUCCGCGCCGCAGCUAACGCAUUAAGUGCCCCGCCUGGGGAGUACGGCCGCAAGGCUAAAAC
rnacentral:rRNA from 1 species